rnacentral:rRNA from 1 species
UACGUAGGAGGCAAGCGUUGUCCGGAAUUACUGGGCGUAAAGCGCGUGUAGGUGGUGGGACAAGUCUGCUGUGAAAGCGCCUGGCUUAACCGGGCGAGGUCGGCGGAAACUGUUCGACUCGAGGACGGUAGAGGGGGGUGGAAUUCCCGGUGUAGUGGUGAAAUGCGUAGAGAUCGGGAGGAACACCUGUGGCGAAGGCGGCCCCCUGGCCGGCCCUGACACUGAGACGCGAAGGCGUGGGUAGCAAACAGG